AACUGAUACUACCUGCGGGAACCUGCGGAAGGAUCAUUAUAGAGUUUUCUAAACUCCCAACCCAUGUGAACUUACCUUUUGUUGCCUCGGCAGAAGUUAUAGGUCUUCUUAUAGCUGCUGCCGGUGGACCAUUAAACUCUUGUUAUUUUAUGUAAUCUGAGCGUCUUAUUUUAAUAAGUCAAAACUUUUAACAACGGAUCUCU
rnacentral:misc_RNA from 1 species